GGAAGAUUCGCAUAAUGGUAUUGCAGCGGUCUUGAAAACCGCCGGGUUCACGCCUGUGGGGGUUCGAGUCCCUCAUCUUCCG
rnacentral:tRNA from 1 species